CCCACAUGUAAAUAGCACGGUGAUUUCAAAUAAGACAUUGAUUGUAUUACAACACUUGCCGUCAGUAUUUGAAUAUAUUGAUUAAGAAGGUUGUCAGCAAGAUGAAAAGGACAAGUAUGCAGUUCAAAAUUCAAAAUGUGGAUAAGCUGAGGUUCAAGGUCUUACCUUUGCAGAUUUUCAUAUUUUGCAUGAAUGAAUUCAAAGAUUAUAUGAUGGACGGCAGAGAAAGAAAAAAAAAACUUUUCAAUUAUCCUGCUCCUGGAUAAAUGUAAAACAUGUUGUUUUUUGGACAAGAACUAUAGAAGAUACAGAGAAAUUAUAAACAGCAGAAAUGAUAGGCAAUUUAAAAUUUGCAGAAGCAAACUAAACCUAAAUGGUGAUCAGACAUCUUGGUUUUCAUGAUCAAUAGGUCAUUACUGAAGAGGAAACUUAAAGUUGAAAUUUAUUUACAAAGUGCAUAAUUGGAUUAAUUUGAACUGGAAUGUGUGCUUUCCUGCAAAAAAGAAACAGGAAAUUUCAUCAUUAUCACAUGAUAAUGCCCAUAAACAAAAUGGAGUUCUAUCAUAGAUACACAAAAACACUAUUGCAUAAAAGCAACAACAUAUUAUAUAUAUUAAUCGAAAGAAAGGAGAAUGCAGUUCAAAUACUAUUUUGUUGUUGAAAAAGGAACACCAGUUUUAUCCACUCAUUUACAUCGCUCCCUCAUAUCAAAUGUACGGAAGGAGAUCUUGAAGAACAAUUUGCAAAAAUGUUUUCUCUUAGAAUUGAAGGAAAAUGUUAAGUGAAUGGAAUAAUGUAUUCACUGAAUUCUUACGUAGUGGAUUGAAUAACUGUAUACAAGUUGAAACAGAAGAAAAUUUUAAUUUAAAAUAACACGAAAAGUGUUUAUUUUAUUAUUUAAUCUGCAAACAUAUAAACAAAUUCUUUAGAACACCACAAAUGGUAUGACAUUCAAAUUGGUUGCUUAUUAAUGUAUUGCAUUGAAACAAUUACAAGGAAAACAGAAUCAUUUGCUACAAAAAAAAAUUAUAAAUCAAAGUUAAAUUUUAUAAAAAGUAUGAACAAUACCUAGAUCUAAACAGUCAGACUUUAUCAAUUUUCAAUGUCAUUAAAAAAUGUUGAGUCAAACAUUUAUGAAAGUUUUGAAUAUCAUUUGCAUCAACUAUACAGUCUUGUAAUAAUUAUAUAUAUUCAUACUGUUUAUAUGUAUACAUGGUAUAGCGAAGAAAUG